GCCCUUUUAACUCAAGAGUAACGCCAUGGUAAGGCGUAAGUCAUCGGUUCAAAUCCGAUAAGGGGCU
rnacentral:tRNA from 1 species